CCUCACUGGCUAGAUCCCUGCCUUUGGCGUUCCCUUGAGAACUCCUGUGUUUGGUUCCUCACUCGCACUUUCCUUCCUGUGCAUAGACACAAGAAAACAAAGUGACCAUGAGUUGAGACCCUUGAAACCCAGACAUGAACACUUUCUUCUUUCAGUUGUCCUCUCAGAGGCCAGAAGAAGACGUCAGACGCCUGGAGCUGGACUUUCAUGAGGCUGUGAGCUGCCAGACAUGGAUGCUGGGAACUGAACCUAGACUGAGUCAACAAUCGAACUCCCUCAGAACACCCAGAAUCUCCCUCCUGGCCUCUGCAUACAUUUCAGCAAGGUGAACCUAGAGGAGUUGCAGAGACUCAGUGCUGUGAGGCAUUUAGUGAUGUCCAAGUUCGUCUAAAGGUCCAAUUUGCUCAAAAUUGAAGAAGUGUCUAGAUGGAGAAGGAACAAAUUCCAAGACAAGGGAGCUUCUACACUCUCGACUGCCCUUCCGAGCUGGAGAAGCCUUCCAAGAACAUCCAGGAGGCUGUGUAUUGAGCAUCAACCUUACUUGCAGAAAGGGUUCUGACAUCAAUCAGAUCCUUCAUGGACCAGAAAGAUGGCUCAGUGGGUAAAGGCACUUUCCACCAAGCCUGAUGACCUGAAUUCCAUCCCUGUGACCUAUACGGUGGAAGGAGAGAAGCAAUUUAUUCAAAUUGUGUCCUGACCUCCAUAGGACUCACGUGGUAGAAAGGAACUGGCUGCUACAAGCUGUGCUUUGUCCAACCUCCACAAACAUGGUUCCUCCCCUGCAAAAAAGGAUGGGUAAAUAAA